GGCCUAGCUCAACUGGCCGAGCAGCGGACUCUUAAUCCGCGGGUUCGGGGUUCGAGUCCCUGGCGGCGCACCA
rnacentral:tRNA from 1 species